rnacentral:rRNA from 1 species
GACGAACGCUGGCGGCGUGCCUAAUACAUGCAAGUCGAGCGGACUUACAAAGCGUGCUUUUUAAUGUAGCGGGCGACGGGCGAGUAAGUAGUGGGUAACUAGCCUGUAAGACUGGCAUGACUUCGGGAAACCGGAGCGAAUACCUGAUAAUCCUUUUCUACUAAUGUAGAAAAGCUGAAAGACGGUUGACGUUGUCACUUACAGAAGGGGCCGCGGCGCAUUAGCUAGUUGGUGAGGUAACGGCGCACCAAGGCGACGAUGCGUAGCCGACCUGAGAGGGUGAUCGGCCACACUGGAACUGAGACACGGCCCAGACUCCUACGGGAGGCAGCAGUAGGGAAUCUUCCGCAAUGGGCGAAAGUCUGACGGAGCAACGCCGCGUGAGUGAUGAAGGUCUUCGGAUCGUAAAACUCUGUUGUUAGGGAAGAACAUGUGCGUGAGUAACUGCUCGUAUCUUGACGGUACCUAAUCAGAAAGCCACGGCUAACUACGUG